rnacentral:rRNA from 1 species
AGGAUGAACGCUGGCGGCGUGCUUAACACAUGCAAGUCGAACGAACCCUUUCGGGGGUGAGUGGCGGACGGGUGAGUAACGCGUGAGGAUCUGCCUACAGGAUGGGGACAACAGCGGGAAACUGCUGACUAAAACCCAAUAUGCCGAGAGGUGAAAUAUUAUAGCCUGUGGAUGAGCUCGCGUCUGAUUAGCUAGUUGGUGAGGUAAAGGCUUA